rnacentral:rRNA from 1 species
UUGGAGGGCAAGUCUGGUGCCAGCAGCCGCGGUAAUUCCAGCUCCAAUAGCGUAUAUUAAAGUUGUUGCAGUUAAAAAGCUCGUAGUUGAAUUUCGGGGUCAGUAGGUUGGUCGUGCCACUGGUAUGCACUGGUCUCACUGAUUCCUCCUUUCUGAUGAACCGUAAUGCCAUUAAUUUGGUGUUGCGGGGAAUCUGGACUGUUACUUUGAAAAAAUUAGAGUGUUUAAAGCAGGCUAACGCUUGAAUACAUUAGCAUGGAAUAAUGAAAUAGGACGAUCGAUCCUAUUUUGUUGGUUUCUAGGAUUGACGUAAUGAUUAAUAGGGAUAGUUGGGGGCAUUAGUAUUCAAUUGUCAGAGGUGAAAUUCUUGGAUUUAUUGAAGACUAACUACUGCGAAAGCAUUUGCCAAGGAUGUUUUCAUUAAUCAAGAACGAAAGUUAGGGGAUCGAAGACGAUCAGAUACCGUCGUAGUCUUAACCAUAAACUAUGCCGACUAGGGAUCGGAUGAUGUUAAUUUUUUAAUGACUCAUUCGGCGCCUUACGGGAAA